rnacentral:sRNA from 1 species
GGGGAUGCCGCGUGCCUUUCCAGUUCAGGACGGGCGGGCCCUGAACUCUGGGGACCAAGCAGCAGAGCUGGCUCCCAGCGAGCACCCCUAGGCCGUGCCCAUAGCUACAGCGGACAAGGACCCUGAGGACCAGGUCCCUGUCGGGGGGCUGCAGUGCAGCAGAGCGCGAGGCCCUGGCCACCGAGGCAGCUCCCUUUGUCCCCCAGGGAGUCAGUGCUGCAGAUGAUGCAGGCUGGCCAGCGGGUAGUGGACAACCCCAUCUACCUGAGCGACAUGGGCGCUGCGCUCACCGGUGCCGAGUCCCAUGAGCUGCAGGACGUCCUGGAAGAGACCAAUAUUCCCAAGCGGCUGUACAAGGCCCUCUCCCUGCUGAAGAAGGAAUUUGAACUGAGCAAGCUGCAGCAGCGCCUGGGGCGGGAGGUGGAGGAGAAGAUCAAGCAGACCCACCGCAAGUACCUGCUGCAGGAGCAGCUAAAGAUCAUCAAGAAGGAGCUGGGCCUGGAGAAGGACGAUAAGGAUGCCAUCGAGGAGAAGUUCCGGGAGCGCCUGAAGGAGCUUGUGGUCCCCAAGCAUGUCAUGGAUGUUGUGGACGAGGAGCUGAGCAAGCUGGGCCUGCUGGACAACCACUCCUCAGAGUUCAAUGUCACUCGCAACUACCUAGACUGGCUCACGUCCAUCCCUUGG